AACUUAAAGGAAUUGACGGAAGG
rnacentral:ncRNA from 5 species